ACUCCUACGGGAGGCAGCAGCAGGGAAUAUUGCGCAAUGAGCGAAAGCUUGACGCAGCGACACCGCGUGUGGGAUGACGGAUCUAGGUUUGUAAACCACUUUCAGGAGGGAAGAAAAUGACGGUACCUCCACAAGAAGCCCCGGCCAACUACGUGCCAGCAGCCGCGGUAAU
rnacentral:rRNA from 1 species